UGAAGCACCAUCAAACAAGUGGUUACCACAUAAAUGCUUAUCUGAUGUGGAAAGAAUUGAAAUCCCGCUUAUGCCUAGUCGUCAUGAGCAAGAGGAAGCAAGAGGGUUGCAGAGACAUUCGGCAAUUUUUUGCCUCGUCUCAGAAAAGAAGCAAAUCGGACCUUGAUGCUGUGACAACGGACAAGUCUUCUUCCUCUGUCCUUUUCCCCUGCAUCUGUUCAGUAUGUUCAGUGUUCUUAAAUCAUUUUAUUAGUUACUGUUCUUAUUGUGUUCUUGUUAGUGUGAUGUUUGAAUAAACUUGCCUGUUGCAAUGUUGGUAUAAUGUUUGUAUAAUUACUGUUAUACAACUGUUACUGUUUCAAUGUGACCC
ensembl:lncRNA